rnacentral:lncRNA from 1 species
CUGACCUUAAUUCCAAUAAUAACAAGUUAAAAAAGACACAGAACAAAUUGAAAGAAGAGCAAGAGAGCCAUAAGGAAACGCAGAGUAAGCUUGAUGAAGUAACUAGUACAAUUGAAACCGCAAAAAAAGAAGCAGAACAAGUGAAACUGGAAGCUGAAGCCAGCAUAAAAAAAUUUAAAGUUUCACAAGAAAAUCGAGCCUUUGUCCUAGAACAACAAUUGAAAGAAGAACAAGCAAAAUUAAUUCUAUCACGGGCAGAGAAGGAAGAUUUGGACAAGAAAAUUCAGACUUUAUCAGCUAAGCUCCAACAAGCAGAAGCAGAACUUAAGAAGCUUACAGAAACUAAUGAAUGUCUUUCAGAGCAGGUAAAAUUAUUUAUUUAUUUAUUUACAGUAUCAACGGGUCAUAAAGACCCGUUUGCUAGACAUUAUAACAAAACAGAGACACAACAAGACGGCAAUAAGGUUAGAAAAAGAAACAAUAGUACAGUAAGACCUCGAAUUAUCGGAUCGCGAUUUAACGGAUUCCGCGAUUUAACGGAUCGAUCCGGUCCCUUCAGUGGGACCGACUAGCGUGAUUUAGCGGAUUCCGCGAUUUAACGGAUUCGGCCUCCGGUCCCGUGAAAUCCGAUAAAUCGAGGUCUUACUGUACAAUAAUAAAGUAACAAAUCAUAAAAAUUUGUCAAAAACUGACAUAACUACCACAAAAUAAUUAAUUGAUUACCCAGAGAGAUCAAAAGGGAAUGUCCUCCUUGAGGCAGCCUUAAAUUACAGAUUUUAGAAUUAAGAUUUGUAAUAAUAGGUUAUAAGAUUAUAAUAAUUAUCAAUUUCUACCCUCCUUUCAUUCAAUGUUAGCUCAUGGGUAGCACUGUACACAGGUGCAAAAUAAUAAUUUCCCUUUUUUUCAAAUUUUGAAGUCAUUUCAUUUUUGCCUCAACAUCUUCAAGCUAUUAGACGUGCAGCUUUAUUUUCAGUUGUCAGCCUUCCAUCUUUAUAUCUGUGAGACACAAUCAACCACCUUUGCAUAAAUUGACAGUGCCUAGCUAAGAAAACCAAGUCCAUUGCGGUGUUCUCAAAAUCGUCUAUCUUCUACUUCGCUGGAAAGAAAACUGAAUGCACGUAUGAUAGUGAACUUACAGGAUUUGUUUUAAUGAAAAUUAACAAUUUUUGGUGGGAAAAUUAAAACUGUUUGAACCUUGGAGCGUUUCCCAGAGAAAAGAAAUUUUGCACAUGUUUUAAAACACUGCAAUAGUCUUGGUUUUUUUUCUGCUAAACAUUGUCAAGAUAUGACUUGAACAUGUUUUUGUUGACUUUGAAACCAUUGAACAGCAAUAUUUGUCGUACAACAUAGCUAGAGAAUCUGUCUAUUUUUCAUACUUGAUAAUUCGUUGAUUAAUAUCAACUUUUGGAGAAAGCUUAAUCGAGACAAUUCUGUUGUCAAGCAUUUUCGGUUGUAUUGCAUCCUCUCAAAACUGUUAAUUAAAUUUCAUUGUUUUUUUGUUUUGUUUACGAGAAAAUCAGACGUAAAGUCAGUCAAGUU